AAAAUAUCAACCCCGAGUCCAUUCCCCGAGUGUUAGUCUUUUUUGUUUACUCCCGACCCCGAGUUCAUUCCCCGAAUUUUAGUCUUUUUUUUUGUUUACUCCCGACCCCCGAGUCCAUUCCCCGAGUUUUAGUCUUAUUUGUUUACCCCGACCCCCGAGUCCAUUCCCCGAGUUUUAGUCUUUUUUUGUUUACCCCGUUCCCCGUUUGAGGGCACUAAAACUCGGGGAAAAUGACGACCCCCGAGUCCAUUCCCCGAGUUUUAGUUCCCCGACCCCCGACCCCCGAACCCCGAGUUUUAGUGGUGCCCUGUAUUUUGAAAUUUGUGUUGUCCUGAUAAAGCUAACUCUUGUUUGUUUAGUUGGCCUAAGUAUUCCAUCAGUGAAUUGUGUUCUUCACAGGACUCGAGAACUUCAAAAGUUCAAUAUACUAUAAGAUCGGCCAAAGUCAUUACAUUCUCAGAGGACAAGGAUGUAGUAUUAUCCACAAAAAAUGCUAUGCUGAAGAAAACCAGGCCUGCAAUCUCUGCUCAUUAGCCAGUAAUAGCAAAAAGGUCUUAUCCAAAUACUACUAAUAGUCAACGGGGCUCAAAAAAAAGUACAACCUCACUAAAAUUUUCAGCUGAUGGUUCUACAAUGGCUAGAAAAAGAAUGCAAAUUCUAGAUGAAGACUUAGAAGGUAUGGUACGUAAAAGUUUCAGUCAAGACAAGAAUUUGUCAUCUAAACUAGACUCGGGUGACAGCCUUAACCUAAAUGAAGAAGAAUACUUUAAUUCGUUUUUGGAUGACGAAGAUAUUAUUCCUGGAACUCCUCAGCAAUCAUCAAAACGCAAACGACCAUAUGAUUGUGACAGCGCUCGUGACAAGGCUCGGACUCAAAAUAACGACUUAGCUAAGGACAAGGAAAGUACGUCAGAUUCAACACCAACUGGCAACAAUAAAAAAAGGUCGUGGAGUAAGAAUCACGAAUCUCAGAGGCAGUAUUCAGUAGAGACAAACAUUUUUGAAAACCCUCCUUCUUCUUUGGUGCAAAAGCGAUACACACAGUCGAGAUCAGUUAUAUCGGGAUAAGAAACGGAGUUCAGUCAUACUGAUUGGAAAGAGCAAGAUCCUACCCCUGAAAGUUCUUGGGCAAGCAAGGAAGAACUGAAAAAUUAAGUGAAAUUACUUAACGAGCAGAUACAGAGUUCUGUAAUUGAUCGGGAAAACGAGCGACAGCGCUACAUACAACAACUUGCCGAGAAGGAUGCGCUGAUUUUUCAGUUGCAAGAAGAAAUUCAAUCACUCAAUGAAACAAAUCCGCAAUGCUUGGCAAAAAUAUCUUAUUGCUCGGAAAUUCAGGUCUUCAGGAAGGGUUGACGAUUCUUCAAGCAAUUUUAGAAAACUUAUCUUUACCAAGUACUCCGCAGCAGGCAUUUCGUCAUUGUCGUUCAACCGACAGAAGAGUAAUUGAAAUGAGUCAUCUAGUAAAGCUACAUACGGAUUAUAACACCAUGAUUAAUGCCAAUGCGCUAGCAACCGCUAUUACAUAUGGAAAGGUUGGAUAAAAAAAAAAGGAAAUGAGUAAAAUUAUUAAUGUGAUAAUGGAGGACUUUUGGGAUAUAAUAUUUAUGUCAAGCCACAGUUUAACUGGAAAAAAGGCACCCACUGAUAAAAGUAGCAAUCCUCCCAAGCCUGCAUUUCCAAAAGAAGAUGUUGAAGCCAUAACAAAAUUUACGGCCGAUUACUGGGAAACCCGACACAAGAUGGUGAUCGAUCCGUCAUUGGUGUCCCCAUGCUUAACUGCAAAACUUUUAAGUAAGCACACGGCUAAAAAGUCAAGAGAGAAGAUGUUGGCAGAGGAGGAAGUUGCAGAUUCAGAGUAAAUGAAUAAACAGUGCGUUUCUAGUCCAAUAUUUAUGCACUUAUAUGAUGACAUUUACAAUGUCCCUGUACGUAAUAUUUUUAGCAUUCACGUUCGUUUUUACAGUUUUUUCUAUUGUAUUUUAUAUAGUGUCACGUAUUUGAAAUUUCCGAAACACAAAGAAAUCUAUACCAAAUACAAAGAAUGUUCCAGUUUA